rnacentral:rRNA from 1 species
UGCCAGCCGCCGCGGUAAUACGGAGGGAGCGAGCGUUAAUCGGAAUUACUGGGCGUAAAGCGCGCGUAGGCGGCUUUGUAAGUCGGAUGUGAAAGCCCUGGGCUCAACCUGGGAACUGCAUGGAAUACUGGGUGACUAGAGUACGAUAGAGGGGGGUGGAAUUUCCGGUGUAGCGGUGAAAUGCGUAGAUAUCGGAAGGAACAUCAGUGGCGAAGGCGACCCCCUGGAUUGAUACUGACGCUGAGGUGCGAAAGCGUGGGGAGCAAACAGGAUUAGAUA